AUUGAACGCUGGCGGCAUGCUUUACACAUGCAAGUCGAACGGCAGCACGGGGGCAACCCUGGUGGCGAGUGGCGAACGGGUGAGUAAUGCAUCGGAACGUACCCAGUCGUGGGGGAUAACGCAGCGAAAGUUGUGUUAAUACCGCAUACGACCUGAGGGUGAAAGCGGGGGACCGUAAGGCCUCGCGCGAUUGGAGCGGCCGAUGUCUGAUUAGCUAGUUGGUGGGGGUAAAGGCCCACCAAGGCGACGAUCAGUAGCGGGUCUGAGAGGAUGAUCCGCCACACUGGGACUGAGACACGGCCCAGACUCCUACGGGAGGCAGCAGUGGGGAAUUUUGGACAAUGGGGGCAACCCUGAUCCAGCCAUGCCGCGUGCGGGAAGAAGGCCUCGGUUGUAA
rnacentral:rRNA from 1 species